GAACAGAUACACAGAUUCCAACCAACACACCAAUUUGAUACCUAAUGCCUUUUUGGAAUGUUUGAAGUAUAUAAAUUAUGCCCAACACUCAUUGGUAUAACAGAAGAAAAAGGUGUGCCCAUCACUCAUCAGAAUGUUUGAGGAAAAAUUUUUGCUCAUCCACAUAUAGUCGAAGUAGCCCGUACACAAUCUAUCCUAUGAGAUGCCAACAAUAUUUGACUCUGCUCAAAUAUUU
rnacentral:lncRNA from 1 species